GACGAACCGUGCGAACGUUGUUCGGAUUCACUGGGCUUAAAGGGCGCGUAGGCGGGCUCGCCAGUCAGGGGUGAAAUCCUCCGGCUUAACCGGAGAACAGCCUUUGAUACUGCGAGUCUCGAGGAAGGUAGGGGCAUGUGGAACUUCCGGUGGAGCGGUGAAAUGCGUAGAUAUCGGAAGGAACGCCGGUGGCGAAAGCGACGUGCUGGACCUUUACUGACGCUGAGGCGCGAAAGCCAGGGGAGCAAACGGG
rnacentral:rRNA from 1 species